rnacentral:rRNA from 1 species
UAGUGAUCCGGUGGUUCUGUAUGGAAGGGCCAUCGCUCAACGGAUAAAAGGUACUCUGGGGAUAACAGGCUGAUACCGCCCAAGAGUUCAUAUCGACGGCGGUGUUUGGCACCUCGAUGUCGGCUCAUCUCAUCCUGGGGCUGUAGCCGGUCCCAAGGGUAUGGCUGUUCGCCAUUUAAAGAGGUACGUGAGCUGGGUUUAAAACGUCGUGAGACAGUUUGGUCCCUAUCUGCCGUGGGCGUUGGAUACUUGACGGAGCCUGCUCCUAGUACGAGAGGACCGGAGUGGACGUACCACUGGUGUAUCGGUUGUCAUGCCAAUGGCAUUGCCGAGUAGCUACGUACGGAAGAGAUAACCGCUGAAGGCAUCUAAGCGGGAAACUCGUCUGAAGAUUAGGUAUCCCGGGGGCUUGACCCCCCUGUAGGGUCGUCCGAGACCAGGACGUUGAUAGGCUGGGUGUGGAAGUGCAGUAAUGCAUGUAGCUAACCAGUACUAAUUGCCCGUGUGGCUUGAUCCUAUAACCCUUGAGGUUGUA